rnacentral:rRNA from 1 species
UAUAAUGGGUCAGCGACUUAUAUUCUGUAGCAAGGUUAACCGAAUAGGGGAGCCGCAGGGAAACCGAGUCUUAACUGGGCGAAUUAGUUGCAGGGUAUAGACCCGAAACCCGGUGAUCUAGCCAUGGGCAGGUUGAAGGUUGGGUAACACUAACUGGAGGACCGAACCGACUAAUGUUGAAAAAUUAGCGGAUGACUUGUGGCUGGGGGUGAAAGGCCAAUCAAACCGGGAGAUAGCUGGUUCUCCCCGAAAGCU